rnacentral:rRNA from 1 species
UACGAAGGAUGCAAGCGUUAUCCGGAUUUAUUGGGUUUAAAGGGUGCGUAGGCGGACUUAUAAGUCAGUGGUGAAAUCUCGUUGCUUAACAACGAACGUGCCAUUGAUACUGUAGGUCUUGAGUACAGAUGCCGUUGGCGGAAUGUGUCAUGUAGCGGUGAAAUGCAUAGAUAUGACACAGAACACCGAUUGCGAAGGCAGCUGACGAAACUGUAACUGACGCUGAGGCACGAAAGCGUGGGGAUCAAACGGG